GUCUGGCUGUGGUGUGGGCCCUGAAGAAAUUGCAGGCGUAUUUGUAUGGACAGCCCUUUUCCUUGCUCACGGAUCACAACCUGUUAGUAUGGCUGAACCGGGUGGCUGGGGACAAUGCCAGGCUGCUGCAGCCCUUUGACUUUAACAUUCAGUACCGCCCGGGAAAACAGAAUGGGAACGCUGACAGGUUGUCAAGACAAACCGACCUGGAAAAAUGAUCCGUGAACAUACUUGGACAUCCGCAAGCCGAUCCGUGUUGGAUCAGACUGUGUAUGCCGGCUUGUGGGCAAAGGGGAGCAGUGUAGCGGAUGG